ensembl:piRNA 21ur-8417 ncRNA
UUUUAGAUUGCCGAAGAGAGU